UACGUAGGGGGCAAGCGUUGUCCGGAAUCAUUGGGCGUAAAGAGCGCGUAGGCGGUCCGGUAAGUCGGUUGUGAAAACUGGGGCUCAACCCUCAGAGGCCGACCGAUACUGUCGGGCUAGAGUCCGGAAGAGGCGAGUGGAAUUCCUGGUGUAGCGGUGAAAUGCGCAGAUAUCAGGAGGAACACCAAUGGCGAAGGCAGCUCGCUGGGACGGUACUGACGCUGAGGCGCGAAAGCGUGGGGAGCAAACAGG
rnacentral:rRNA from 1 species